GGACCAAUUUCAUUCUUGACCUUCGAGAGCCCCUCAGAGACAGAGAUCACCCUGCGCUGGGGAGCUCCAGACAAACCCAACGGGGCGCUCACAGGCUACCUGCUGCAGUACUACGAAACUGUGCCUGGGAUUUCGAGCCCACAACAGGUGGAAUCCAUCGAUCUGCCCCUUGUUACUGAGUUCACACUGAAGGGUCUGAAUCCUCAGAGCCUAUACCACUUUGAUCUUAGAGCACGCACCGCUGCUGGUGAUGGGGAACCUAUAGUAAGGGAGGGCGCCACCUUGCUGGAUGGAGAACCACCAUCUGCACUCAACAUAACUGCUGGACAAACAUCGGUUAAUGUCAGUUGGGUGCCAGGAGAAAGACGGCGUAACUUUGCCUUUAGCUUCCGUUACCUGAAAAAAA